AGAGUCAGUGAUGGCAGGAGAGAACUGGGUUCAUCAUGCAAGCAGAGCAGACAAGUCAACAUUGUCUACAAAGAAAUAAAGGUUACAAUAUGAAGAACUGGCUUCAUGGACUUUGGUGAUGCUUGUGAAUGCAGAAGGAGGUGCCUGUAAUUACAUUUCAAGCCAGAACUGAAGGAUGGACAGACUCCUGACUACCAUUGUGCAAUUGCUUUCCAACAUUCUGUUGGGUUGUAAGAAAUAAAAAGGAAAAAUUUAACUCUC